AAGGCAGAUCAGGCAGUCGCGAGGCGCGCAAGCGUUUCGAGGAAGGUCCGGACUCCAUAGAGCAGGAUGGCGGCUAACGACCGCCCGGCGAGUCAGGUGGGCGCAAGCCUGUCGGCGAAGCCGAGGAAUAGGGCCACAGAGACGAGACUGCGUCGCGGGCGGGUCGCAAGAUCCGCACUGGCACGGCCACUCCGUGCUGUGCAUCGCGCAAGCGGUGCGGCGAAGCAGGGUGAAACGCGGCAACCUCCAUCCGGAGCAACACCAAAUAGGCAUACGUACGGCUUCGGCCGCCCAGGGUGGUUCGCCCAAGUAUGCGGGUAGGUGGCUUGAGCAUGUGGGUAACCACAUGCCUAGAGGAAUGAUUGCCCGCCCGGGUCAGCGAGAGCGCCCGAGUGUACAGAAUCCGGCCUAUCGAUCUGCCUUGCAU
rnacentral:RNase_P_RNA from 1 species